AGCGAACGCUGGCGGCAGGCCUAACACAUGCAAGUCGAACGCACCUUCGGGUGAGUGGCGGACGGGUGAGUAACGCGUGGGAACGUGCCCUUUGGUUCGGAACAACUCAGGGAAACUUGA
rnacentral:rRNA from 1 species